CCAGACCCCAACUAGCCCAAUAGGGCAACAGGUAGCAAACGGCGUAAGCUUAAUUAGCAUGCGCAUAGAAGUAAGGUGUAAAUUAAUAAGAUGCCCAUGCUAGCAAGCAGCUAGCAUGGCGAGAAUGCGAUGCUAUGGCAUACGGAUGCCGGAGCUGACAAAUUCUUAGAGAGGACUACAAGUUUUAAAGGAUAACUCCCGAAAACUCGUAUUACAAAAAAGGGGGUUUUUUAGUUGGUAAGUAUCCAACACUACCCAGGGUUCGAAACACGCCGCCGGGCAAACCAAAAAAAAGAAAAAAAACCUGGCAAUACUGCACGAAUGACAGGUGACGGCUUCGGUGUUUGUAAGAUGUAUGGCAUACAGAUGCCGGAGCUGACAAAUUCUUAGAGAGGACUACAAGUUUUAAAGGAUAACUCCCGAAAACUCGUAAUACAAAAAAGGAGGUUUUUUAGUUGGUAAGAAUCCACACUACCCGGGAUUCAGAACACUGGGUGUCUUCGCAAAGAUUUUUAUUCCUCCAGCUGCCGGGCA